rnacentral:rRNA from 1 species
UCCGUAGGUGAACCUGCGGAAGGAUCAUUAAUAAUGCCCUCUGGCUUCGGUCAGCUGGGUUCAAUGUGUGUCAACUCUUCGGAGUUGGCCAUCCACACACACCGUGAACUGUGGCUUCGGCCAUCACAAACUAUUAGUAAUGAAUGUAAAAUCAUAACAAAAUAAAACUUUUAACAACGGAUCUCUUGGCUCUCGCAUCGAUGAAGAACGCAGCGAAAUGCGAUAAGUAAUGUGAAUUGCAGAAUUCAGUGAAUCAUCGAAUCUUUGAACGCACAUUGCGCCCCUUGGUAUUCCAUGGGGCAUGCCUGUUCGAGCGUCAUUUGUACCUUCAAGCUUUGCUUGGUGUUGGGUGUUUGUCUCGCCUCUGCGCGCAGACUCGCCUUAAAACGAUUGGCAGCCGGCGUAUUGAUUUCGGAGCGCAGUACAUCUCGCGCUUUGCACUCAUAACGACGACGUCCAAAAAGUACAUUUUUUACACUCUUGACCUCGGAUCAGGUAGGGAUACCCGCUGAACUUAAGCAUAUCAAUAAGCGGAGGAA